AGCAGCCGCGGUAAUUCCAGCUCCAAUAGCGUAUAUUAAAGUUGUUGCAGUUAAAAAAGCUCGUAGUUGAAUUUCGGGACUAAUAUGUCGGUCGUACUUUGUACGUACUAGCAUUAUGGUUUCUCCCUUCUGACGAACCACGAUGUCAUUAAUUUGGUGUCGUGGGAAAUCAGGACUAGUUACUUUGAAAAAUUAGAGUGUUUAAAGCAAGCUCGACGCUUGAAUACAUUAGCAUGGAAUAAUGAAAUAGGACGUUUGAUUCUAUUUUGUUGGUUUCUA
rnacentral:rRNA from 1 species